UUUGUGCAGAGAAGGAUCAAGAAUUGGGGGAAGCCUUAGAGAGAAGGCAGUUGAAGAGUUUCUGUUCUAUAUGUAUUCUCUCUUCUGUUUAAUUGCCAUUCUAUAUAUUUUUUUAAUAUAAAUAAAUGCUAGUCUGAAUUCAUCUGAAUGUGUCUGCCCAUCUGUUCUGAUAGAAAAAGUGCUUAUUAGAAAACUUGAGUUAUGUUCUUGUAGCAUGGAUACAUUUUCUAAAGAAGUGCUUUUAGAAAACUCAAAUCUAUUUUUCGCAUCAUGAUGUUUCAAUUUUCCUGGUUAAAUCAGCAUGGUGAAAACACUAGUUGAUUUGCAUGGUAAUGAGGCUGGAAAAGGUGGAGAACUCACACAUGAUGAGACAACAAUUAUUGCUGGAGCACUUGGGCUUACUGAGAAAACAGCCAGUGAUGCCAUGACUCCCAUAUCUGACACUUUUGCUGUUGAUAUCAAUGCCAAGCUUGACAGGUGUUGCAUGCUUUGGAAAACUUUUGAAUAGAAGCAAAUCACAGGCACAUUGUUAGAUCUCCAGUUCUAAUGCGGGAAUUGUGGCUUGAGAUGUGGCAUGAUAACUAUCCUGAUUCAAAAUCAAAAUUUGUUACAAAAGGUGGAUCUCUUCUUUCUUAGUUCUUUUUGUUUCAUUAAAUUGUUUUACCUCUUAAAUUUUACAUGGAACAGCUAAGCGUGACCUUUGAGGGAAGAUGACUGUUAUUGGGAUUAUGGAAAAGUUCGUUGUGCAUGGCCUGAGCAUUGUGAAUAUAGGUAUUUUUCUUACAUGUUUUUUAAUUAUUUUUUCGAAUAUUGUGGUCAUCAGUUUCCCUUAUUGCAUUAUGUACAGAUACGUUUUAUUUUGUGAAAGGGCUCCUAAAUUUUCUACUUUCAUUUGAAGAAAACUGUGAAGAGUUAUCUUACACAACAUCAAGUCAACAUUCACAAGGACCCAUAAUUAAUAUAUAUAUAUUCAAUGCUAAGAAAUGUUGACAACAGAUGAUGUUGAUAGCGCACUCAGCUUAAGAAAUGUUGAGGGAACAACCAGGAUUCUUCAGUUUUGGCUCAAUCUUCACAAGUAGAAACAAGAACGAUUAAAUUACAAUCAAUUUGCAAUUUAAGUGAUUAUUUCUUAUCGGAACGACUAAAUUACAAUCGAGGUGUCCUACCUCAAUUUGCUACAUGCUGAACUUUUGCUGUAGUGUUUCGAUUUCAAUGGUUCAUAUGAAGAAGGGGCUCAUGGUAAAGAGGUGGUAGCUGUUGGUGCUGCUUGUGCUUUCUUGCAUGUGACUUUUAACAUUUUACCCCUUGAGCGUGUUAUGACUGUACUAGCUU